CGGUUUGUCGCGUCUGCUGUGAAAACCUCAGGCUCAACCUGGGGCUUGCAGUGGGUACGGGCAGACUAGAGUGCGGUAGGGGUGACUGGAAUUCCUGGUGUAGCGGUGGAAUGCGCAGAUAUCAGGAGGAACACCGAUGGCGAAGGCAGGUCACUGGGCCGCAACUGACGCUGAGGAGCGAAAGCAUGGGGAGCGAACAGGAUUAGAUACCCUGGUAGUCCAUGCCGUAAACGUUGGGCACUAGGUGUGGGGUCCAUUCCACGGAUUCCGUGCCGCAGCAAACGCAUUAAGUGCCCCGCCUGGGGAGUACGGCCGCAAGGCUAAAACUCAAAGAAAUUGACGGGGGCCCGCACAAGCGGCGGAGCAUGCGGAUUAAUUCGAUGCAACGCGAAGAACCUUACCAAGGCUUGACAUACACCGGAAACGUGCAGAGAUGUGCGCCCCGCAAGGUCGGUGUACAGGUGGUGCAUGGUUGUCGUCAGCUCGUGUCGUGAGAUGUUGGGUUAAGUCCCGCAACGAGCGCAACCCUCGUCCCAUGUUGCCAGCGGGUUAUGCCGGGGACUCAUGGGAGACUGCCGGGGUCAACUCGGAGGAAGGUGGGGAUGACGUCAAAUCAUCAUGCCCCUUAUGUCUUGGGCUUCACGCAUGCUACAAUGGCCGGUACAAAGGGCUGCGAUACCGCGAGGUGGAGCGAA
rnacentral:rRNA from 1 species